AAGCUGCUCUAAUGAACUGAAGG
rnacentral:miRNA from 1 species